rnacentral:rRNA from 1 species
UCUACGCGAGGCAGCAGUGAGGAAUAUUGGUCAAUGGCCGGGAGGCUGAACCAGCCAAGUCGCGUGAGGGAAGACGGCCCUACGGGUUGUAAACCUCUUUUGUCAGGGAGCAAGGUGCAGUUCGGGCCCUGCUGUGAGAGUACCUGAAGAAAAAGCAUCGGCUAACUCCGUUUCAGCAGCCGCGGUAAUACGGAGGAUGCGAGCGUUAUCCGGAUUUGUUGGGUUUAAAGGGUGCGCCGUCGGAGGCACGAGUCAGCGGUAAAAUCGCGGGGCUCAACCCCGCUCCGCCGGUGAAACGGUGGCCCGGGAGGGCGCGAAGGGUAGGCGGAAUGCGUGGUGUAGCGGUGAAACGCAUAGAUAUCACGCAGAACUCCGAUCGCGAAGGCAGCCUACCGGCGCGCAACUGACGCACAUGCACGAAAGCGUGGGUAUCGAACAGGAUUAGAUACCCGAGUAGUC